GACCACAGGACAGGGGCUACCAGUCUACAGCAAUCACGAAAUCUCUCUCCCCUUGCUAAGAAGACAUGUGCAGUCCAUUGGUGAAAAGAUUUCUCCCUCUAAACAAGGCAACAAAGAGAAGAUGUUAUCCCAACUCUGUAAUGACCAGAGCUGAAGCUCCAUUCUUUCUGUGAGAAGAAUCCACACCGA
rnacentral:lncRNA from 1 species